rnacentral:rRNA from 1 species
GGCGGCCGCGGGAAUUCGAUUAGAGUUUGAUCCUGGCUCAGAUUGAACGCUGGCGGAAUGCUUUACACAUGCAAGUCGAACGAUGAACCCUAGCUUGCUAGGGGGAUUAGUGGCGAACGGGUGAGUAAUAUAUCGGAACGUGCCUUGUAAUGGGGGAUAACUAGUCGAAAGAUUAGCUAAUACCGCAUACGCCCUGAGGGGGAAAGUAGGGGAUCUUCGGACCUUACGUUAUAAGAGCGGCCGAUAUCUGAUUAGCUAGUUGGUGGGGUAAUGGCCUACCAAGGCUUCGAUCAGUAGCUGGUCUGAGAGGACGACCAGCCACACUGGAACUGAGACACGGUCCAGACUCCUACGGGAGGCAGCAGUGGGGAAUUUUGGACAAUGGGCGCAAGCCUGAUCCAGCCAUUCCGCGUGAGUGAAGAAGGCCUUCGGGUUGUAAAGCUCUUUCGCAAGGGAAGAAAACUUACUUUCUAAUAAAGAGUGAGGCUGACGGUACCUUGAUAAGAAGCACCGGCUAACUACGUGCCAGCAGCCGCGGUAAUACGAAUCACUAGUGAAUUCGCGGCCGCCUGCAGGUCGACCAUAUGGGAGAGCUCCCAACGCG